rnacentral:piRNA from 1 species
CGUGUGCUGCUGCAAGUGCACU